UAAUCUAAGAAAGACAAGAGACGUGGAAAGGCCUGGGCCCAGCCAUGGAGUUAGGAGUCAGGCCCAGCCAAGCCUAGCCCAGAUUAGCCAAACCUACAAGUCAGUAAGUGAGUGAGUAAUAGAUGGCUGCAAACCACUGAAAUUUCCAGGUUGUUUUGUUAAAUACCCUUGUUUUGGUCAUACGAAAUUAAUACAUACUUUUGUAAAGGUGCAACAUAGUUAUGGGUAGCACAUUGCAGCACACAAUGCUCAUGUACUACAUACACUGGAAACAGAAUGAGAAUGGAGGAGCCUUGAUGAAAUGAAUGACUUGAAGAAAUGGCACAGGACUGGAAAUCAGAAGACUUGGGUUGUCGUGAGGUUUCGACCUUCUAUUCUUAUGAAGUUUUGACUCUGUGUCAGGUGUGUUUCUAGCAGUUUUAACUCAUCCAAUUCUCAUAACAAUUGUUUGAGGUAAGUGCAUUAUUAUUCCCACUUUAAGGUUGAGGAAAUUGAGGCACAGAAGGAUUAAGAAACUAACCAAGAUCUCAUAGCGAGUAAGUAGCUGAACUGACCUUGGUACCAGACAGUGUCAUGGAUGCCUCAUGCGCCACCCAGAUUUCCUGUUCAGAACUGAAGUGCUCACUCCUUCAGCCUCUGGGAGAGCUGGCUCCUGGUGGCUGUCAGGUGUGUCCCUCUCUGGACAUUGUUCUUGACCAAAGGGAGCUGCCUUGCCCAAAGUUAGAUCCUUUAUUGGGGUUAGCCCAUAACCAAUAUCUGGUCAAUGUGUGGACUAAUGGCCUGGUCAAAACCCUUUGCCUAUAUUUGAGGCAACUUGAAGUCCCUUUCCAACUCAAGGGUUCUCUGCAAGAUCAAAUUCGUCCUGUGUAGCUCCUUCAUCACCUCUGCCCAACCCUGCUUCUCUCAUUUUCUUACAGGUAUUGGUUUUGAAAAUGCUCCCAAGGAAAGCUGCAUACAAAUAUCCAUCUCAGAGUCUAAUUCCAAGGAACCCAGUCCAGAUGGCUGCCUUCCAGAGUCUGGGUUCUCUGCCACUGUUUGAUAUUGGUCAGUCCCUGGACUGUGAGCUCCCUGAGGACACACAGUGCUACAUCAAGUUACUUGGAGCCCUAGGACAACUUCCAUCUCAAGUGAUCCUCUUCCAUAUCAGGGAAUCAUCAAAUGCUUGCUGAAUAAAUUGCCACCCUCUUUGGACUUUGAAAAACGAAGUAUCCUUUUCUCAAAAAUAUGUAGGAGAAUAACAUUUAUACCCUGUAUUAGUUUUUUAGAGCUGCCAUAACAAAAUGCCA
rnacentral:lncRNA from 10 species